AGUGGCGGACGGGUGAGUAAUGCGUAGGGAUCUACCCUAAAGCGUGGGAUAGCCUGGGGAAACUCAGGGUAAUACCGCAUACGCUAGAGAUAGGAAAGUGGCUUCGCGAGAGGUACACACUUUAGGAUGAACCUACGUCCGAUUAGCUAGUUGGUGGGGUAAAGGCCUACCAAGGCGACGAUCGGUAGCUGUUCUGAGAGGAAGAUCAGCCACACUGGGACUGAGAUACGGCCCAGACUCCUACGGGAGGCAGCAGUGGGGAAUAUUGGACAAUGGGGGAAACCCUGAUCCAGCGAUGCCGCGUGUGUGAAGAAGGCCUGCGGGUUGUAAAGCACUUUAGUUGGGGAGGAGAGUUUCAUUCGAAGGGAUGAGACGAGACGUUACCCAAAGAAUAAGCACCGGCUAACUCUGUGCCAGCAGCCGCGGUAAUACAGAGGGUGCGAGCGUUAAUCGGAAUUAUUGGGCGUAAAGCGUACGUAGGCGGGUCAUUAAGUUAGAUGUAAAAUACCUGGGCUCAACCUGGGUGGGUCAUUUAA
rnacentral:rRNA from 1 species